rnacentral:rRNA from 1 species
UUUAGAGGAAGUAAAAGUCGUAACAAGGUUUCCGUAGGUGAACCUGCGGAAGGAUCAUUACUGAAUUUAACGGCUGAGGUUGUAGCUGGCCAUAACCUGGCAUGUGCACACCUUGGUUAUCCAAAAUUCUUACACCUCUGUGCACCUUUCAUGGGAUAGUCGAGGCUGUCGGUUUUAUGACUGAUGGUUUCUUCCAUCUCGUGUCUUUACAUUUACACGCUUCAGUAUAGAAUGUUACCUGCGUUUAACGCAUUAUAAUACAACUUUCAGCAACGGAUCUCUUGGCUCUCGCAUCGAUGAAGAACGCAGCGAAAUGCGAUAAGUAAUGUGAAUUGCAGAAUUCAGUGAAUCAUCGAAUCUUUGAACGCACCUUGCGCUCCUUGGUAUUCCGAGGAGCAUGCCUGUUUGAGUGUCAUGGUAUUCUCAAUCCAUUCAAUAUUGUCAAAGGUAUUGGAUUGGUAUUGGAUGUGGAGGAUUAUUGCUGGUCUCUUUAUUGAGUAUCAGCUCCUCUGAAAUGCAUUAGUGUGAAUGUUUACCGAGCAUUUUCUCAGUGUGAUAAUUAUCUACGCUGUGGCUGCUUGGAUCUAUUAAAUUUCAUGCUUCAAACCGUCUGCCUUAGUGGACAAUUAUUUGACAAUCUGACCUCAAAUCAGGUAGGACUACCCGCUGAACUUAAGCAUAUCAAUAA